ensembl:misc_RNA Metazoa_SRP Metazoan signal recognition particle RNA
GCCGGGCGUGGCGGCUCAUGCCUGUAAUCCAAGCGCUUUGGAGGCCAAGGUGGGUGGAUCACCUGAGGUCGGGAGUUCAAGACCAGCCUGACCUACAUGGUGAAACCCCGUCUUUA